AUUGAACGCUGGCGGCAUGCUUUACACAUGCAAGUCGAACGGUAACAGGCCUUCGGGUGCUGACGAGUGGCGAACGGGUGAGUAAUGCAUCGGAACGUACCCAGAGGUGGGGGAUAACGCAGCGAAAGCUGUGCUAAUACCGCAUGUGAUCUGAGGAUGAAAGCGGGGGACCGAGCAGCAAUGUUUGGCCUCGCGCCUUUGGAGCGGCCGAUGUCGGAUUAGCUAGUUGGUGGGGUAAAGGCCUACCAAGGCGACGAUCCGUAGCUGGUCUGAGAGGACGACCAGCCACACUGGGACUGAGACACGGCCCAGACUCCUACGGGAGGCAGCAGGGGGGAAUUUUGGACAAUGGGCGCAAGCCUGAUCCAGCAAUGCCGCGUGCGGGAAGAAGGCCUUCGGGUUGUAAACCGCUUUUGGCAGGAACGAAACGGUGUCCGCUAAUACCGGGCGCUAAUGACGGUACCUGCAGAAUAAGCACCGGCUAACUACGU
rnacentral:rRNA from 1 species